rnacentral:rRNA from 1 species
AGUGAACGCUGGCGGUAGGCCUAACACAUGCAAGUCGAACGGCAGCACAGUAAGAGCUUGCUCUUACGGGUGGCGAGUGGCGGACGGGUGAGGAAUACAUCGGAAUCUACUUUUUCGUGGGGGAUAACGUAGGGAAACUUACGCUAAUACCGCAUACGACCUACGGGUGAAAGCAGGGGAUCUUCGGACCUUGCGCGAUUGAAUGAGCCGAUGUCGGAUUAGCUAGUUGGCGGGGUAAAGGCCCACCAAGGCGACGAUCCGUAGCUGGUCUGAGAGGAUGAUCAGCCACACUGGAACUGAGACACGGUCCAGACUCCUACGGGAGGCAGCAGUGGGGAAUAUUGGACAAUGGGCGCAAGCCUGAUCCAGCCAUACCGCGUGGGCGAAGAAGGCCUUCGGGUUGUAAAGCCCUUUUGUCGGGAAAGAAAAGCAGCAGGUUAAUACCCCGCUGUUCUGACGGUACCCAAAGAAUAAGCACCGGCUAACUUCGUG